GCUCCUCACUCCUUGCAUCAAGCUCCUUCCCACCCUCACCGUCCUGCUCCUCACUCCCUGCAUCAGGCUCCUUCCCACCCUCACCGUCCUGCUCCUCACUCCCUGCAUCAAGCUCCUUCCCACCCUCACCGUCCUGCUCCUCACUCCCUGCAUCAGGCCCCUUUCCACCCUCACUGUCCUGCACCUCACUCCCUGCAUCAGGCCGCUUCCCACCCUCAC
rnacentral:lncRNA from 1 species